rnacentral:piRNA from 1 species
ACCUAAAAGAGCUAGCAGAAUUCG